CCAUGCUUUGAAUUGCUUUUAGGCUACUCCUCCAAACUUCCCAAACACCUGCAGUUCCAGUACAAAGAUUCUUCCACACCACAUGGUGUAAUAACUUCAGCAGCCUGAUUUUCAUUACCAGAUCUUCCUGUGAGUCAUCCUUCUGACACCGUAACUAAAUUGAAAGUGCUGAACCAUGAACAUGACCACAGUUUUCUGGAGAAGACAAGCUCUCAAUGUCACUUCCCCAAGUACACAGCACUGUUCUCUACUUGCUUUAUUAAAGUUGCCUUUUGGUGUGUUCUUUCAAGGACAUCCUACAAAGUGUAAAUGAGAACAUCCAAAAAGAGAAAACAACCAUACUGCCAGCAGUAUUUUCUGAACUCCUUCUGUAAACUGCAACUUAAACAUUGGCAUGGCCAAAUGUGCAUGGCUCGGGCAAAGGCAAGAAGCACAAUAUACACCCUACAUGAGACACAUCUGUUCCUGAGAACACCAAUAUGCUUCAGAGAAAAUGAUGGGAAUUGAAGAACCUCUGUAUGGAGUUUGGUUUCAUUGUGGUAAAGUUAGCCACCAGGAAGAAACUGUCCUUGCUUCAACUGCUGGCAGUGUGCUGUCCAAAUUGGAUUAGAAGGACACAAAAGAAGGUGGUUGAUGAACUUUUCCAAGACAAGGUAUGACAGUCCUUCAAAAUUCCUGUUUCACAGAAAAGUCUGUCAGAUAUUCUAGGCCUGUAGGCCAAAGACAGAUGCCCCAACAUUUCAGAGGAACCUUGGUAACU